CUCUUGUAAAAUUUGGCACGCAAUUCAGCCUUAUUGGCUGCUAUGCGUUAAUCUUAUUAAACAAACAAUCUAUCUAUCUAUAUCUAUCUACAAUGGUCCAAGAAGUCGAAGGCAACAAGGACCGCUAGCGCAGAAAAUCGCAGUUGGGUCCAAGAGCUUUCCCGGUUUGAGUUAUCGAACCACACCGCAUUGUUGAACGAACAUUCCACCUUCCCAACUUCUUUUCAAUAGACCAGCACGAGGAACACUACCCAUGUUAAACCCAAAAGAUAAGGUGUUAAAUAGGCAUAAAGACGCCAAAACGAAUGAUGCUAGAGCUAAAACAAAGGGAAGAAAGUAUGCAAAUCAAAGAAGACAUGCCAAACCGUCAGAUUUGAAAGUGGGUGAUAAAGUUGUGCUUAAAGGAAGAGAAAUAAAUUUACAACAAGAUACGAACUAGGACCAAAAACGAAAAUUGAACGGAAAAGAACUAAGAUAGUAGCUGAAAACCAGAAACACAUUGUGACGCGUCAUUCUUCAAAAAGAUAAAAGGUGUAGCGGGAGAUUCAGAUGAUGAAGAAGAUCACGGGGCACGAGCAUCCACGAGAACAGAGAUAAACAACGACGUGCAAGCACCAGUGCUGAGAAGAUCAACUAGAAAACGUGUGCAAAGAGAACAAUAUGGGAAUCCUAUAAACCCGGAUUAAUUAUUCGUUAACCCAUAAUUAAACAGUAAAGAUACUUGCGUUGAGUUUGGACGGUUUGAAUUUAAGUAUAAACAGCUACAUCAAAGAGUGGAGGGAUGUGGUGUUGUUAUAGACACACCCCUUUUAGAUAAUUGACAUUUUAAAAGAAUAUUUAGGGCUAGGGAUGACAUAUUUUGGGUUCAAGGAUAUAUUUGAAAUUCAACAGACAGCUUGUUAACGGAUAUACUAUAUAGUUUGCCAAACCUGUGACACUGCAAAAUCGUGCAUAAAAAGAACCAUCCCCGCUGUCCCACUUUCUAAUGGUCCAUCCCUUUUUUGAACAUUAACCUGCCCCCUUUUUGGUUUUUGCUAUUCUUUGCACCCAUCAGAAUUAAUAUGAAUUGGGUUAUUUUCAGUUUUGUUAACAUUCUUCAUCCUAUCAUUAUAUGUACAAGCAUUAAUUGAUUUUUCUUUGUCCUAUAUUUUCAAUUGACUGAUUAUGAUUAAUAAUAGCUUUACCAACAAUGCCAUUCACGUGCAUGUUGCUCACAGCUUGCAAACUUUGUUUGGGGUAAACAUCCUAAUUCAUUUUAAUGAUUUGGAAAGGCACUCGGACCACCAGUCCAUGCGCACAGUUUCGUACUCUUCUUGACUAGUUUGUUCAUUAUGUCUCAACAUCAAAGCGAUAUCUGAAACAAAUUUGUUGUCCAGCAGGAUCAUCCAAAUCAAAACAUAACUACAGCUCUUCUUCUUUCUCAUUGUUUUGUGACUUCCACACUUCAUUAUGGUUUGUAAUGCGAAGGUUUUAGCAAUAUUUGUAGCUCUUUAUUUGUUUCAGUAACAUAAUCAACAGGCAGUUUGUGCCAUUUAUCUUUCACUGAUGAUAAACUUGGAUUGUUCGUCAUGAGAAGUUGGAUCACUUCUGUAUGUGAAUUCUGCGCAGCCUAUGAGGUUAAAAGUGAUAUAGUUUUCAGUUGACGUUUAUUAAAACAUCAUUUAAAUAUAUAGUCACAUACAUUAC
rnacentral:lncRNA from 1 species